rnacentral:rRNA from 1 species
CCUACGGGAGGCAGCAGUGGGGAAUAUUGCACAAUGGGGGAAACCCUGAUGCAGCGACGCCGCGUGAGUGAAGCAGUAAUUCGUUAUGUAAAGCUCUAUCAGCAGGGAUGAAAAUGACGGUACCUGAGUAAGAAGCCCCAGCUAACUACGUGCCAGCAGCCGCGGGAAUACGUAGGGGGCAAGCGUUACCCGGAUUUACUGGGUGUAAAGGGAGCGUAGAAGGCAGUGCAAGGCUGGAGUGAAUGGCGGGGGGUCAACCCCCGGACUGCUCUGGAAACUGUACGGCUGGAGUGCAGGAGAGGUAAGUGGAAUUCCUAGUGUAGCGGUGAAAUGCGUAGAUAUUAGGAGGAACACCAGUGGCGAAGGCGGCUUACUGGACUGUAACUGACGUUGAGGCUCGAAAGCGUGGGGAGCAAACAGGAUUAGAUACCCGGGUAGUC